ACUUCGUGGUGUAGUGGUCAGCACGCUGGGCGCGUAUUCCAGAGGUCCGUGGUUCAAGUCCCGGCGAAAGUG
rnacentral:tRNA from 1 species